GUUUAUGUAGCUUAAACAACUAAAGCAUGGCGCUGAAAAUGCCAAAAUAGAUACUAACAAUCUCAUGAACA
rnacentral:tRNA from 1 species